UACGUAGGGUGCAAGCGUUAAUCGGAAUUACUGGGCGUAAAGCGCGUGUAGGUGGCAAGGCAAGUCGGGUGUGAAAGCCCUGGGCUCAACCCAGGAAGUGCACUCGAUACUGCCUCGCUAGAGUCCCGGAGAGGUUGGUGGAACCUCUCGGUGUAGAGGUGAAAUUCGUAGAUAUCGAGAAGAACACCGGUGGCGAAGGCG
rnacentral:rRNA from 1 species